CCUACGGGUGGCAGCAGUAGGGAAUUUUCGGCAAUGGGGGGAACCCUGACCGAGCAACGCCGCGUGAACGAAGAAGUUAUUCGUAAUGUAAAGUUCUUUUAACAGGGAAGAAAGAGAAAUUUGACGGUACCUGCAGAAUAAGCUCCGGCUAACUACGUGCCAGCAGCCGCGGUAAUACGUAGGGAGCGAGCGUUAUCCGGAAUUAUUGGGCGUAAAGGGGGGGUAGAUGGCAUAGUAAGUCUGAUGUAAAAAUGCUGGGCUAAACCCAGUAGGGUAAAAGAUACUGCAAAGCUAGAGUAUGAAAGAGGCAAGUGGAACUACAUGUGUAGCGGUAAAAUGCGUAGAUAUAUGUAAGAACACCAGUGGCGAAGGCGGCUUGCUGGGUCGAUACUGACAUUGAGGCACGAAAGCGUGGGGAGCAAACAGGAUUAGAUACCCUGGUAGUC
rnacentral:rRNA from 1 species